rnacentral:rRNA from 1 species
CGCGCAGGCGGCGCGUUAAGUCCGGGGUGAAAUCCCACGGCUCAACUGUGGGGGGACCCUGGAUACUGGCGUGCUGGAGUGCGGGAGAGGGAAGCGGAAUUCCGCGUGUAACGGUGAAAUGUAUAGAUAUGUGGAGGAACACCGGUGGCGAAGGCGGCUUCCUGGACCGUAACUGACGCUGAGGCGCGAAAGCUGGGGGGAGCGAACA